rnacentral:sRNA from 1 species
GCCAGGUGUGGUGAUGCACACCUAUAAUCCCAGCAACUUGGGGGACUGAGGCAGGGGGAUUGCAAGUUUAAGGCCAGCCUCAGCAAUCUAGCAAGACCCUAUCUCAA